AUACGUAUGGGGCAAGCGUUAUCCGGAUUCAUUGGGCGUAAAGCGCGUGUAGGCGGCUUGUUAAGUCAGAUGUGAAAACCGGGGGCUUAACCCGCGGCGUGCAUCUGAAACUGGCAGGCUUGAGUCUGGUAGGGGAAAGUGGAAUUCCUAGUGUAGCGGUGAAAUGCGCAGAUACUAGGAGGAACACCAGUGGCGAAGGCGGCUUUCUGGGCCACGACUGACGCUGAGACGCGAAAGCUAGGAGAGCAAACAGGAUUAGAAACCCGAGUAGUCC
rnacentral:rRNA from 1 species